GGGCUGUGAUGGGCUGUGAUGGCCUGUGAGGGGCUGUGAUGAGAUGUGAGGGGUCAUGAUGGGCUCUGAUGGGCUGUGAUGGGCUGUGGUGGGAUGUGAUGGGUUUUGAUGGGCUGUGAUGGGCUUUUAUGUGCUGUGAUGGGCUUUUAUAGGCUGUGAUGGGCUGGGGGGCUGGGUCGUCUGGCUGGCUUCCACUGGUUGCAUAAUCUCUGCUUCUCACCAUCACAGACUGCGCUCCAUUAGCAGAGUCACACUUGCUGCGCAUUAAUUCAAUAUUUGAUGCUAUUGUAGUCCUGGGUGCCGUCAAAAGGCCCUCGAGUCAAAUGUGUUCCGGCUCGUCGGCCUCGUUCGCUGCGAGCUGAACUCACAACACAGAGGCCGUGGAUGUCACGCAAACCCCAUGACGCGCGGAGGCCUCCUGCCGGCGUCUACGCCAUGAUUCACACGUUAACCCUCGGCAGCAGGAAAUCCCUCCGCGUCCCCUCCACCGCAGACCAUCCAUCACUGCAGCGCCUUUUCCUUCACUGCGAACGCUCAAUUAUUCAGCGCCGCCGACCGACCGAACGUCUGCAUCCUCGGCCCGUGUACGUGCGUAAGCAGGCGCCUCACGAUGCAGCGUGCAUGAAAGGAACGCGAGGGUAAACAAGGCUGCGUUUCCAUUCUUAGCCGCGCGUUCGCUGUGAAAGAUUCAUUCCGCGUCUAAGAAAUGGACUUGGGCCUGAAGAGGCCCCGGUGCCGUGGAACACGUCUGCAGAAUCACGCCUUCUAUUACAGCACAUUUUCCUUUCACCGUGAACUCGAUUCUUCCUCAGGAUUUCAAACAACCAAGAGGAACACCGGAAUAUAAAGCAGCACAAAGCACCAGGAGCUGGCAGCAGUUAAAAGGCCCGACAGGAGAGGAUCUGACCAGGAGGUUGCUGGUGUGAAUCCCUGAGCUGGUUCCUAAAGUAUAAAAGAACUCUGAGCUGCAAACUCAGCAUGAAGAUGGAGCCGGUCGGGUCCUGAGACGUUAGCGACACAGACAUCUGGAGCCAAGGAUCAGCGGAAUGAUGGCAGCUUGAAAGAAAAUCCCAUCUUCAUGAAUUAAUAUUAGAUCGACUUGAACGCAUCAACGUGCUUUACAUUUCCACAACAUAGUUUAUUGUGAUUACAAACAUAUCUUCUCUUUAUCUUCUCUCUUUCAUUUCACUGCUAGCAAACACAACUGAUUAAACCAAUAGCUUCGCCGUCGUCAGUCCCAGAUGACGAGUGAUGUUAAUCUCAUUUUCACUCGCGGGGAGAAAGAAAACACAAGAUCUUAGUUGAAAUGAUUGUCUCAGCAUAGAGCUUCUAAACGCUGAGAGAUGUUUGAAAUCUCACAAUGCUGUAAAGGACAAAUGUGGAACAUAAAGGCGGCUUAUGAAGUUG